rnacentral:rRNA from 2 species
AGCUAAAUGCGGAAGAGAUAAGUGCUGAAAGCAUCUAAGCACGAAACUUGCCCCGAGAUGAGUUCUCCCUGAGACUUAAAGUCUCCUGAAGGAACGUUGAAGACGACGACGUUGAUAGGCCGGGUGUGUAAGCGCAGCGAUGCGUUGAGCUAACCGGUACUAAUGAACCGUGAGGCUUAACCUUACAACGCCGAAG